GAUGAACGCUGGCGGCGUGCCUAAUACAUGCAAGUCGAGCGAAUGGAUUAAGAGCUUGCUCUUAUGAAGUUAGCGGCGGACGGGUGAGUAACACGUGGGUAACCUGCCCAUAAGACUGGGAUAACUCCGGGAAACCGGGGCUAAUACCGGAUAACAUUUUGAACCGCAUGGUUCGAAAUUGAAAGGCGGCUUCGGCUGUCACUUAUGGAUGGACCCGCGUCGCAUUAGCUAGGUGGCGGGGUAACGGCCCACCAAGGCAACGAUGCGUAGCCGCCCGGAAAGGGUGAUCGGCCGCACUAGGACUGGGAAACGGCCCAGACUCCUACGGGAGGCAGCAGUAGGGAAUCUUCCGCAAUGGACGCAAGUCUGACGGAGCAACGCCGCGUGAGUGAAGAAGGGUUUCGGCUCGUAAAACUCUGUUGUUAAGGAAGAACGCCAGGUAGAGUAACUGCUACCUGUGUGACGGUACUUAACCAGAAAGCCACGACUAACUACGUGCCAGCAGCCGCAGUAA
rnacentral:rRNA from 1 species